rnacentral:tRNA from 1 species
GCCGGGAUGGUGGAGCGGUCAAUCACACCUGACUGUAAAUCAGGCGCCUUAGGCUACGUAGGUUCGAAUCCUGCUCCCGGCA